GGGUCGUUAGCUCAGGUGGCAGAGCAGUUGACUUUUAAUCAAUUGGUCGCAGGUUCGAAUCCUGCACGACCCACCA
rnacentral:tRNA from 1 species